rnacentral:lncRNA from 10 species
AAGCUGGGACAGAACACAGUUCAGCUUUGCCUUCUACUGACAGGUGGCAAGUCCUCAGCUUUUUUGUUGUAUGAUAAAAUUUUAUUAUACGAAGGACAAAGGGAAGAUACUAGAAGCUUCCAGGAAGGAAAAAAAGAUGUGUCAUAUACAAAGGAUCAGGAAACAGAAUGGCUUGAAACAUUUCAGCAGCAAUACUGGAAGCUAGAAGACAGUGUUGGUUUAAUGCCUUGGAAGAUUGGAAGGACGAUACUUUUCAGCCUAGAA